rnacentral:rRNA from 1 species
CCUACGGGAGGCUGCAGUAGGGAAUCUUCCACAAUGGGCGAAAGCCUGAUGGAGCCACGCCGCGUGGGUGAAGAAGGUCUUCGGAACGUAAAACCCUGUUGGUCGAGAAGAAAGUGCGGGAGAGUAACUGUUCACGUUUCGACGGUAUAUAAACAGCAAGCCACGGCUCAGUACGUGCCAGCAGCCGCGGUAAGACGUAGGUGGCGAGCGUUAGCCGGAUUUGUUGGUCGUAAAGGGAAGGCAGGCGGUCGUGUAAGUCUGAUGUGAAAGGUUUGGGCUUAACCGGAGUAGUGCAUUGGAAACUGGGAGACUUGAGUGCGGAAGAGGAGUGUGGAA